AACGGUUGCUAAUACCGCAUAAUGCAGCGGCACCUAAUGGUGACCGUUGUUAAAGCGGGGGAUCGCAAGAUCUCGCGCCUGAAGAGGAGCCUGCGGCGGAUUAGCUAGUUGGUAGGGUAAUGGCCUACCAAGGCGACGAUCCGUAGCCGGCCUGAGAGGGCGGUCGGCCACACUGACACUGACAUACGGGUCAGACUCCUACGGGAGGCAGCAGUGGGGAAUUUUGGGCAAUGGGCGAAAGCCUGACCCAGCAACGCCGCGUGAAGGAUGAAAUCCCUCGGGAUGUAAACUUCGCAAGAACGGGAAGAAUAAGUUUGUGCUAAUACCGCCAGCGAUGACGGUACUGUUUGUAAGCUCAGGCUAACUCCGUGA
rnacentral:rRNA from 1 species